rnacentral:rRNA from 1 species
UAGGGAAUCUUCCGCAAUGGGCGAAAGCUUGACGGAGCAACGCCGCGUGAGUGAUGAAGGUCUUCGGACCGUAAAACUCUGUUAUUAGGGAAGAACAAAUGUGUAAGUAACUAUGCACGUCUUGACGGUACCUAAUCAGAAAGCCACGGCUAACUACGUGCCAGCAGCCGCGGUAAUACGUAGGUGGCAAGCGUUAUCCGGAAUUAUUGGGCGUAAAGCGCGCGUAGGCGGUUUUUUAAGUCUGAUGUGAAAGCCCACGGCUCAACCGUGGAGGGUCAUUGGAAACUGGAAAACUUGAGUGCAGAAGAGGAAAGUGGAAUUCCAUGUGUAGCGGUGAAAUGCGCAGAGAUAUGGAGGAACACCAGUGGCGAAGGCGACUUUCUGGUCUGUAACUGACGCUGAUGUGCGAAAGCGUGGGGAUCAAACAGG